rnacentral:rRNA from 1 species
UACGUAGGGUGCGAGCGUUGUCCGGAAUUACUGAGCGUAAAGAGCUCGUAGGUGGUUUGUCGCGUUGUUCGUGAAAACUCACAGCUUAACUGUGGGCGUGCGGGCGAUACGGGCAGACUGGAGUACUGCAGGGGAGACUGGAAUUCCUGGUGUAGCGGUGGAAUGCGCAGAUAUCAGGAGGAACACCGGUGGCGAAGGCGGGUCUCUGGGCAGUAACUGACGCUGAGGAGCGAAAGCGUGGGGAGCAAACAGG